AAGGCCCAUGAGAAUUAACUCCCUUUGAUUAUUCGCUCGGGGACAAGGGAAUUAAGAGGUGAAGGGGAAGAGGAAUUAGGAGGACCAACUUCCGUAAAACUCUUCCUUGGGGACCCUGGUAAUUCAGCGUGGGAUUGGGAGUUGACGCAAAAAAAAAACUCAAGUUGUUCCUCACGUCUUACUACGGAAGGGGAAAAGGCGUGAAAAUCCCAGCGAUAGCGCCGUAAAAUCCUACCUAAUGACCCCUAUUUAGCAGCGCUGCCAAUCUUCCUCCAAACAAAUCAGCGGCCGCUAACUUCUCCCCAAUCUCCAGAGAUGGCGGCAAGCACAAAGAAGAGCUGAGGUCACAGAUUUGUUCCAUCACUUUUGUUCCCCUUUGCAGUUCACGAGCAAGAGUCACCAAAAGGCCAGAGAAUACCAAGCCAAAGGAGAGCAAAUUGACAUCCAAAAAGAGAGACAAGAGAACAUGGACAGCGGAGGAGGAAAAGUUACUUAUUGGCAUUCUAUGUGACAUGAAAAGUAGACACCGGUCACAAGUCCGGCUAUCUUACAUAUAUUGAGAAGGAAAUGGUUGAAGUACUGCCACAUGCUGAUCUCAAAGCUGGUCCACAUAUCAGGUCAAAAGUUAAGAUUUUGAAGAAGUAACUUUCUUAUGUUCUAGAAAUUAUGCAAAAUGGUAGUGGAUUUGGAUGGGACGAUGAGAAGAAGAUGGUAAUUGGAUAUAGAGAGACCUAUAUGGGUUGGGCGAAGUCCGUUAAGGAGCAGGUCCUCUGUACAUGAAGCCUAUGGUUAAUUUUGACAAGCUAUGUGAGGUUUAUGCUAGCGAUUUGGCUAAAGGAGGGAGCCCUAAAGGUCCCGAAGAAGAGGAAGUUGUAGAAGUUGAACGAGCAACAGAUGCAGAACCUACUAGCCAACCAGCCAAGGAGAAUUCUCCUCAAGCACAUGAGAACACCAACCCAUCUGGUAGUUCUAGUCCUGGUCGUAAGAGAACAUAUCUGAUGAUGAUGCACUGGAAUCGGGCCUUAUAAAUGUGUCCAACACAAUUGCAAAGUUCUUGGAAUCAAAAUAGGAGAAUGCAAAACCAUGAACGGUUUACAAAGGGUGUUUAUGCAUGAAGCUCAAGUUCAUGAGCACACAUCAGCCAACAGAACCAAGUUACUUGACAUUUUGCAGAAUCUUAAAGAUCUCAGUAAAGAAGAAGUUGUUAUGGUUGUUUGUGUCAUUGGUAGUGGCGCUGGAAAGGCUGAGCUUUUCAUACAUUUGUGUGAUGAUUUCAAAGUAGUGUUCAUUCACCAGGAGGUUGAGGCGGCCAAAAAAUAAGUGAAUAUCCAGAUUUGAACUUCCAGAUUAGCAGUUUAUAUAUAUUUUUUUUGUUCAGGACUAAGUAGUUGGUUUCUUUAAACUCAUCCCUUGCAACAUUUAGUGUGUCACCAUUCAUUUUUUAUAUAAUCUCGUCUUA